GGCGGUGUAGCCAAGUGGUAAGGCAUCGGUUUGCAAAACCGUGACCCCGAGUUCGAAUCUCGGCACCGCCU
rnacentral:tRNA from 1 species